AUUGAACGCUGGCGGCAUGCUUUACACAUGCAAGUCGAGCGGCAGCGCGGGGGCAACUCUGGCGGCGAGCGGCGAACGGGUGAGUAAGGCAUCGGAACGUGUCCCGGAGUGGGGGAUAACCCGGCGAAAGCCGGACUAAUACCGCAUAUGCUCUGAGGAGGAAAGUGGGGGACCUGCGAGGGCCUCAUGCUUUGGGAGCGGCCGAUGUCCGAUUAGCUAGUUGGUGGGGUAAUGGCUUACCAAGGCGACGAUCGGUAGCUGGUCUGAGAGGAUGAUCAGCCACACUGGGACUGAGACACGGCCCAGACUCCUACGGGAGGCAGCAGUGGGGAAUUUUGGACAAUGGGGGCAACCCUGAUCCAGCCAUGCCGCGUGCGGGAAGAAGGCCUUCGGGUUGUAAACCGCUUUUAGCUGGGAAGAAAAGGCCUGUCCUAAUACGGCAGGUUCUUGACGGUACCGGCGGAAUAAGCACCGGCUAACUACGUGCCAGCAGCCGCAGUAACAC
rnacentral:rRNA from 1 species